ensembl:snRNA U6 U6 spliceosomal RNA
GUGCUCACUUUUGCAGCACCUAUAUUAUAAUUGGAACAAAGAAGAGGAGCAAGGUCCCUGUGCAAUGAUGACAUGCAAAUUUGUGAAGCUUUUCAUGUUUAA